rfam:Nematostella vectensis strain CH2 x CH6 NEMVEscaffold_220_Cont19481, whole genome shotgun sequence.
GUCUACGGCCAUACCAUCGAGAAAACACCGGUUCUCGUCCGAUCACCGAAGUUAAGCUCGAUUGUGCGCGGUUAGUACUUGGAUGGGUGACCGCCUGGGAAUACCGCGUGCUGUAGGCA